rfam:Euryarchaeota archaeon RBG_16_67_27 RBG_16_scaffold_3592, whole genome shotgun sequence.
GCGUGGGUUGCCAAGCUUGGUCAAAGGCGCAGGACUCAGGAUCCUGUCCUGCAGAGGUUCGCAGGUUCAAAUCCUGCCCCACGCA